rnacentral:rRNA from 1 species
CCUACGGGAGGCAGCAGUGGGGAAUAUUGCACAAUGGGGGAAACCCUGAUGCAGCGACGCCGCGUGAGUGAAGAAGUAUUUCGGUAUGUAAAGCUCUAUCAGCAGGGAAGAAGAAAGACGGUACCUGACUAAGAAGCCCCGGCUAACUACGUGCCAGCAGCCGCGGUAAUACGUAGGGGGCAAGCGUUAUCCGGAUUUACUGGGUGUAAAGGGAGCGUAGACGGAGAAGCGAGUCUGAAGUGAAAGCCCGGGGCUUAACCACGGGACUGCUUUGGAAACUGUUUGACUAGAGUGCUGGAGAGGUAAGUGGAAUUCCUAGUGUAGCGGUGAAAUGCGUAGAUAUUAGGAGGAACACCAGUGGCGAAGGCGGCUUACUGGACAGUAACUGACGUUGAGGCUCGAAAGCGUGGGGAGCAAACAGGAUUAGAUACCCUGGUAGUC